CAAAUUGGUGCCAGCAGUCGCGGUUAUACGAAUAAUGCAAGUAAAUUUUAUCAGUAAAAGUUAAAUUUAUUAGGAUGAAAUAAAAAUAAAUUUAUUAGGUGAAAUUUUAAAUUUAUACAAUUUUUUAUAGAAAUAAUAUUGAAGCUUAAAAAUUUUUUCAAUAAACUAGGAUUAGAUACCCUAUUAUUAAAAAUGUAAUUUAUUAACUUGAGUAGUAUUAGUUAUGAUCUUGAAACUUAAAAAAUUUGGCGGUAUUUUAGUCUAUUCAGAGGAACCUGUUCUGUAAUCGAUAAUCCACGAUGGACCUUUCUUAAAUUUGUAAUCAGUUUAUAUACCGUCGUUAUUAGAAUAUUUUAUAAGAAAAAUAAUUUUCUAUAAUUUUUAUUAAAAUUUAUAUCAGAUCAAGGUGUAGCUUAUAUUUAAGUAGAAAUGGGUUACAAUAAAAGUAUUUAUAUGAAUAUAAAGAUGAAACCUUUAUUGAAAGUGGAUUUGAUAGUAAAAUUAUAAAGAUUAAUAAUUUGACCUUAGCUC
rnacentral:rRNA from 1 species